rnacentral:rRNA from 1 species
GGCGGCAGGCUUAACACAUGCAAGUCGAGCGGGCGUAGCAAUACGUCAGCGGCAGACGGGUGAGUAACGCGUGGGAACGUACCUUUUGGUUCGGAACAACACAGGGAAACUUGUGCUAAUACCGGAUAAGCCCUUACGGGGAAAGAUUUAUCGCCGAAAGAUCGGCCCGCGUCUGAUUAGCUAGUUGGUGAGGUAACGGCUCACCAAGGCGACGAUCAGUAGCUGGUCUGAGAGGAUGAUCAGCCACAUUGGGACUGAGACACGGCCCAAACUCCUACGGGAGGCAGCAGUGGGGAAUAUUGGACAAUGGGCGCAAGCCUGAUCCAGCCAUGCCGCGUGAGUGAUGAAGGCCCUAGGGUUGUAAAGCUCUUUUGUGCGGGAAGAUAAUGACGGUACCGCAAGAAUAAGCCCCGGCUAACUUCGUGCCAGCAGCCGCGGUAAUACGAAGGGGGCUAGCGUUGCUCGGAAUCACUGGGCGUAAAGGGUGCGUAGGCGGGUCUUUAAGUCAG